AUGGAGGAGGUCAGAGAGAUAUGGAGGGGCGAGGUUGUGUAUGGAUUUGAAGAUCAGAGCUCCUUCUGUUACUCUAUCAUGGAGUGGACGUCAACCAAACCACACAAACACCUGUGUGUCUACAAACUCUCUCACCUCAGCUCAUUCAAUUUUACAUUCAAUAAAACACUCAGGUGUUUGUACCAUCAGUUUUUAAAA